rnacentral:rRNA from 1 species
AGAGUUUGAUCCUGGCUCAGAUUGAACGCUGGCGGCAGGCCUAACACAUGCAAGUCGAGCGGUAGAGAGGAGCUUGCUCCUCUUGAGAGCGGCGGACGGGUGAGUAAUGCCUAGGAAUCUGCCUGGUAGUGGGGGAUAACGUUCGGAAACGGACGCUAAUACCGCAUACGUCCUACGGGAGAAAGCAGGGGACCUUCGGGCCUUGCGCUAUCAGAUGAGCCUAGGUCGGAUUAGCUAGUUGGUGAGGUAAUGGCUCACCAAGGCGACGAUCCGUAACUGGUCUGAGAGGAUGAUCAGUCACACUGGAACUGAGACACGGUCCAGACUCCUACGGGAGGCAGCAGUGGGGAAUAUUGGACAAUGGGCGAAAGCCUGAUCCAGCCAUGCCGCGUGUGUGAAGAAGGUCUUCGGAUUGUAAAGCACCUUAAGUUGGGAGGAAGGGCAGUAAAUUAAUACUUUGCUGUUUUGACGUUACCGACAGAAUAAGCACCGGCUAACUCUGUGCCAGCAGCCGCGGUAAUACAGAGGGUGCAAGCGUUAAUCGGAAUUACUGGGCGUAAAGCGCGCGUAGGUGGUUUGUUAAGUUGGAUGUGAAAUCCCCGGGCUCAACCUGGGAACUGCAUUCAAAACUGACUGACUAGAGUAUGGUAGAGGGUGGUGGAAUUUCCUGUGUAGCGGUGAAAUGCGUAGAUAUAGGAAGGAACACCAGUGGCGAAGGCGACCACCUGGACUAAUACUGACACUGAGGUGCGAAAGCGUGGGAGCAAACAGGAUUAGAUACCCUGGUAGUCCACGCCGUAAACGAUGUCAACUAGCCGUUGGAAGCCUUGAGCUUUUAGUGGCGCAGCUAACGCAUUAAGUUGACCGCCUGGGGAGUACGGCCGCAAGGUUAAAACUCAAAUGAAUUGACGGGGGCCCGCACAAGCGGUGGAGCAUGUGGUUUAAUUCGAAGCAACGCGAAGAACCUUACCAGGCCUUGACAUCCAAUGAACUUUCUAGAGAUAGAUUGGUGCCUUCGGGAACAUUGAGACAGGUGCUGCAUGGCUGUCGUCAGCUCGUGUCGUGAGAUGUUGGGUUAAGUCCCGUAACGAGCGCAACCCUUGUCCUUAGUUACCAGCACGUCAUGGUGGGCACUCUAAGGAGACUGCCGGUGACAAACCGGAGGAAGGUGGGGAUGACGUCAAGUCAUCAUGGCCCUUACGGCCUGGGCUACACACGUGCUACAAUGGUCGGUACAGAGGGUUGCCAAGCCGCGAGGUGGAGCUAAUCCCACAAAACCGAUCGUAGUCCGGAUCGCAGUCUGCAACUCGACUGCGUGAAGUCGGAAUCGCUAGUAAUCAAGAAUCAGAAUGUCGCGGUGAAUACGUUCCCGGGCCU